UGCCAGCAGCCGCGGUAAUACGGGGGGUGCGAGCGUUAAUCGAAAUUACUGGGCGUAAAGCGUGCGUAGGUGGAUAUUUAAGUCGGAUGUGAAAGCCCCGGGCUCAACCUGGGAACUGCAUUCGAUACUGGAUGUCUAGAGUAUGGUAGAGGGAAGUGGAAUUUCCGGAGUAGCGGUGAAAUGCGUAGAUAUCGGAAGGAACACCAGUGGCGAAGGCGGCUUCCUGGACCAAUAUUGACGCUGAGGUGCGAAAGCGUGGGUAGCGAACAGGAUUAGAUA
rnacentral:rRNA from 1 species